GGGUUGUGAGGUUAAGCGACUAAGCGUACACGGUGGAUGCCCUGGCAGUCAGAGGCGAUGAAGGACGUGCUAAUCUGCGAUAAGCGUCGGUAAGGUGAUAUGAACCGUUAUAACCGGCGAUUUCCGAAUGGGGAAACCCAGUGUGAUUCGUCACACUAUCAUUAACUGAAUCCAUAGGUUAAUGAGGCGAACCGGGGGAACUGAAACAUCUAAGUACCCCGAGGAAAAGAAAUCAACCGAGAUUCCCCCAGUAGCGGCGAGCGAACGGGGAGGAGCCCAGAGCCUGAAUCAGUGUGUGUGUUAGUGGAAGCGUCUGGAAAGGCGCGCGAUACAGGGUGACAGCCCCGUACACAAAAAUGCACAUACUGUGAGCUCGAUGAGUAGGGCGGGACACGUGGUAUCCUGUCUGAAUAUGGGGGACCAUCCUCCAAGGCUAAAUACUCUGACUGACCGAUAGUGAACCAGUACCGUGAGGGAAAGGCGAAAAGAACCCCGGCGAGGGGAGUGAAAAAGAACCUGAAAACCGUGUACGUACAAGCAGUGGGAGCCUCUUUAUGGGGUGACUGCGUACCUUUUGUAUAAUGGGUCAGCGACUUAUAUUCUGUAGCAAGGUUAACCGAAUAGGGGAGCCGAAGGGAAACCGAGUCUUAACUGGGCGUUAAGUUGCAGGGUAUAGACCCGAAACCCGGUGAUCUAGCCAUGGGCAGGUUGAAGGUUGGGUAACACUAACUGGAGGACCGAACCGACUAAUGUUGAAAAAUUAGCGGAUGACUUGUGGCUGGGGGUGAAAGGCCAAUCAAACCGGGAGAUAGCUGGUUCUCCCCGAAAGCUAUUUAGGUAGCGCCUCGUGAAUUCAUCUCCGGGGGUAGAGCACUGUUUCGGCAAGGGGGUCAUCCCGACUUACCAACCCGAUGCAAACUGCGAAUACCGGAGAAUGUUAUCACGGGAGACACA
rnacentral:rRNA from 1 species